AUCGCUUCUUGGCUUUUGGCUAAGAUCAAGUGUAGUAUCUGUUCUUAUCAGUAUUCUAGACUUAAAAAUUAUCAUUGUUUUAAAAAUGUUAUAUGCAAAAUGGGACGUUACACCCUGAACAUUAACAUAAUGACCUGGCACAGAAUGGGUAUUCUCCAUUCACCCCUGAACCAGGGAAGCUAUC